rnacentral:misc_RNA from 1 species
GAUGAAGAACGCAGCGAAAUGCGAUAAGUAAUGCGAAUUGCAGAAUUCAGCGAGUCAUCGAGUCUUUGAACGCACAUUGCGCCCCCUGGUAUUCCGGGGGGCAUGCCUGUCCGAGCGUCAUUGCUGCCCUCAAGCACGGCUUGUGUGUUGGGCCUCCGUCCUCCUCCCGGGGGACGGGCCCGAAAGGCAGCGGCGGCACCGCGUCCGGUCCUCGAGCGUAUGGGGCUUCGUCACCCGCUCUUGUAGGCCCGGCCGGCGCUUGCCGACACAUCAAUCUUUUUUCCAGGUUGACCUCGGAUCAGGUAGGGAUACCCGCUGAACUUAAGCAUAUCAAUAAGCGGAGGA